rnacentral:rRNA from 1 species
UACGGGGGGGGCAAGCGUUGUUCGGAAUUACUGGGCGUAAAGGGCUCGUAGGCGGCCAUCUAAGUCAGACGUGAAAUCCCCCGGCUUAACCUGGGAACUGCGUCUGAUACUGGAAGGCUUGAGUAUGGGAGAGGGAUGUAGAAUUCCACGUGUAGCAGUGAAAUGCGUAGAUAUGUGGAGGAACACCGAUGGCGAAGGCAGCCCCCUGGGUUAACACUGACGCUCAUGCACGAAAGCGUGGGGAGCAAACAGG